AAUCUGUGGUGAGGGCAUUUGCGUAGUAACUCUUUAAAUCUUUCUCAUCCCUCAUAUAUGAAUUCGUCAUCCAUCUGCUAAAAAGUGGUAAUCUCAUUCCGCAACU
rfam:Gossypium hirsutum cultivar TM-1 chromosome 9, whole genome shotgun sequence